rnacentral:lncRNA from 1 species
ACGAUGAUAAGAAACAACAAAAAAUCAAUUUCGUGGGGUUAUAGAGGAGAUUUAGAUGUUGAUUAGGGGAUAAAGGUGGAAUUUUUAAGGAAAAAAUAAGAUGGGAAAUAAUAUGAAGUGAAUUUGGAGUAGUUCUAGAUAGGAGUAUUGAUCUAUUUUUGAUAUGUUUUUUCUUGAAGAAAUUGCGGUUAAAAUUGUAUGAAAAUGAGGAUAAAAAAUAAUAUAAAAUGGGUCUUGGGGGAUUUAGAAAGGAUUUUUUUUUAUGUAAAUUUGCAAAUAAAAAUAAAAUUUUUCGAUGAAAAAUGAACUUUUGUUG